rnacentral:lncRNA from 1 species
CCCGGUGCGGGCGGGGGGAAGCCGAGCAGGGGAACCGCACAUACAGGGAGGGUGAGAAACCCGGGAUGCCGCUGAAGCCACUGCUCCAGGAUCUGACCCACAGGAAGUGUGCUUUGCCGAUCCGCUAGGCGGCGCACGAGACAAUCAAGUUGACACUUUCCAGGUGUACAAUAUAAUGACAUUCAUCAUUGGAAAUUUGUAGUUUUACAUAAUCUCUCUUGGUUCUUAUUUUUCACCCUUGCCCAGCCCUCCCUUCAACCCCUCCAUUCCUCCCUAUUUACAAAGACUUUGUUUCCAUUUUUCCAUUUUCUCCUAUUAAUUCCAUUCCCUUUUCCCUUCCCCUACCCC